GACGAACGCUGGCGGCGUGCUUAACACAUGCAAGUCGAACGGAAAGGCCCUGCUUGCAGGGUACUCGAGUGGUGUACGGGUGAGUAACACGUGGGUGAUCUGCCCUGCACUUCGGGAUAAGCCUGGGAAACUGGGUCUAAUACCGGAUAGGAGCCAUUUUUAGUGUGAUGGUUGGAAAGAUUUUUCGGUGUAGGAUGAGCUCGCGGCCUAUCAGCUUGUUGGUGGGGUAAUGGCCUACCAAGGCGGCGACGGGUAGCUGGCCUGAGAGGGUGGACGGCCACAUUGGGACUGAGAUACGGCCCAGACUCCUACGGGAGGCAGCAGUGGGGAAGAUUGCACAAUGGGCGCAAGCCUGAUGCAGCGACGCCGCGUGGGGGAUGACGGCCUUCGGGUUGUAAACUCCUUUCGCUAGGGACGAAGCUUUUUGUGACGGUACCUAGAUAAGAAGCACCGGCUAACUACGUG
rnacentral:rRNA from 1 species